UCUGCCCAUAGCUCAGUCAGAAGAGUGUGAGACUCUUCAUCUCAGGUUUGUGGGUUUGAGCCCCACGGUUGGCAAAA
rnacentral:tRNA from 1 species